ACCUGCAUUGGAAAGUGAUCAUGGGCUCUCUGUGCUCUGGUCACCCAUGCUGCAGGGAGAGAAACUCCUGAAAGCCGUUUCCCGUGUUUGGAGGGUUCAUACCUGUCCCUUUCAAAUGCUGGCGCUUUCACACA